rnacentral:lncRNA from 1 species
AACAAGCCAGAAGAAAGAAAAUGCCAUUUCUCAUAUUAACAGCUGCAUGCUCCUUAGAGUUUUUUUCCCCCCACAAAGCUUUAAGAUCCUGAGUCAAAUGAAAAUGCUGUGAUAAUAAAGUCAAGUACGACCCCAGGCAACACAACCCUGGGGAACUGGAUUGAAUUCUCCAUCAAUUAUCUUUUGGAGGGACAGGGUGCUUAUCUCAUUAGUUGAGAAUAGCUACUAAUUCUACUAGAAUAGGUUUUUUAACUUCCUAACUUUUAAAGAAAAGCAAGCUCACAUUCCAUUGUGAAAUAGACCGAGAAGUUAUUUGCCACACAAAGACACAUUGCACUGUCUGGGUUACUUAUCCUGCCCGGCUGUGUAUGCUGAGAAAGGCAGAGGACUAAGGUGUUCGUGGUGGAAAUUAAGCAAAUACCUGGACACAAAACAAGGACAGUGUAUAUCCCGACACAGAGAGAAUCACUGCUAGUGUCUUUUAGAGGAAAAAGAAAAAUAUGUAAAUAAUGUGUUUAUUAACAGAAAUAUGAUAUAUUCUAGAAGAUGUUCUUAAGCCAGGUUUCAAAAUUUAAUAAUAUAGCAACAAAAAUACUUUUCUAGCUAAUUUUUAUUAAAAUACCAUAUUUUUUUAAUACCUGCAUAUUAUUCCCUCAUAUGAUUUGAUUCUUCUGUGGUUUAACAAUAAGUCUCCCACUAUUAGGCUUUCAAUUGUUAACACAUUCAUACUACAAAAUAUAUUCCGUAGUAUAUUAUAUUACAUGUCAUAGAUUCAGGAAAUACAUCUAUAUGGAUAGCUGUUGGUAUAUAAUAUACAUUCAGGUAAAAUGCAUACAUUACCCACAUGGCCUAUCACUUGUUAGAAAUAGUUAAACAAGGAAAUAGUAGAAGACUAUACAAAAAAAAGUACGCAAUAAUCUCAAUCUACAGGAACUAAGGGAAGUGUUUGUUUUCUUAACCUUUCUGCUCAUUCUCAUUUUCCAGUUACAUCUUAUAUAAUAAAAGGAAGGAAAUGAUUAAAUACACAACUUAUUAUACAUAAUGUCAUUGUAGUUCCUUGCCUCAAAAUACUGCAUACAGAAAAUAUAAGGAUAUACACAGGAGAUGGUCAUGGUGGAGCAUGCCUUCCACCCCAGCCCUGGGCAGGCAGAUGAAGGUGGUCUCUGUUCCAGGCUACUCAGAGCUACAUAAGGGAGACACCACCCAAAAAAUAAGAAAGAAUAUAUACAAAAAUUUGAUCAUGGAUUAUUUUUAACUGGAGGUCACAUGGGUAACUUUUAUCCUUGUGUUUGCUCUGUGAUUUUGAUUUAUCUCUAUAGCAAUUUACCAUUUAUGAUAUAAAAUAUAAGAUUAAAAUGCCUUGCAAGUAAACAAAUUUAGACCCAUUUCAAGGCCAAGAAACAGGAAAGAUUUGGUGGUGAAAUUCACGGGUUCAUAGAUUGUUCUCAGGCACAGCUAAUGAGGAGCAAAUCAAGUGACCAUGAAUAAGGUCCGUGUUUAAUUCUCUCAAUCUAAAAAAGCAGCCCAUGUGAACAGGAUCUCAGGAGAGCUUGGGACCAGAGGGAUGUGAGCGUAGAGCUAGCAAUUUCUAAAUUAAGCCCACAGCUGGGACAGGCUCUCCCCCUCCCCAACCCCCAGCACAAGUCAGGGUGAGCUCAGAGCUGAGAAUCCACAGAUCCCACAAGGAACAGUCUGGCCAAACAUGAUAAAAGGCUUGGAAGCCCAAAUAAUACCUAGGUGUGUGAAAAUGGCUUUUUACUAAAAUGUCCCCAUAGCUGCUGACAGCCCACAACAUGAUACUUUUAAGACCUCUAAGACUAAGACAUGAAGUCAUGAAGUCCUGUGAGGUCAUGUGCCUCUGCUUGCAAGAGGGGUCCUCCCAAAGGUGAACAAGCUGGGAAGUAACAGUGUGGAACCUGCUGAGUAGUGAAGAGAGGAGGCAAGACAGAAAACCGAAGAAGUCCUCUUACAGGCAAGGAGAGGGACAGCUUUUCUCCCCAGAAAAUAGAAGUGUGUAGACAUCCUUCUGGGGUGACGCUCACAGCAAGAGAGUUACCUAUCCUUCUGCGGAUGUUUGGCACAGAAUGCUCCUUCUAAUGAUAGCUACUGUUUGGACACUAUCAUUAGCCCAACACAAUUAAACAUGCUGAUUUAUUCCAUCUUAAUAUACCCCAUAAGAAAGAUGACCUUUCUACCGGUUUAUGAAUAAACUGGAGUACAGAGUGACUACCAAGUAAUUUUGAAAUGCAUGGUUGUAUGCAUGCUGAAAUUGAGAUUUAAGUAGGCAUUCUGCACUUCCUUGUUUCCUGAUGAUCAUUUCUGACUCCAGGACUAUUUUGUACAUGCCUUCUCACAAGGACCAUAGUCCUUGACCAUAUGCCUAUUGAAUGAAAAAUAAGAAAGGAAAAAGAGGCCAUGACUCCUUCUAGGUAUGCUGGAUAAGAAGUAUUGUAGAUAUGAGGU